GAAGAGGAAACCAGCCAGGCUAGGGACACUCCACUGUACCCAGGCCAACAAGGACAAGGCACCAACUGGACUGCGCGGCGGAGUCCGUGCGCUUGAAGCGGAUGUCAAGAACUGAUGCACCGGCGGCUUCAAGAUCCUUUGGCUUCAGUAUUGUGCGGUUCUGGGUCGCAUGGGCCACGAAAAUGUCUGAUUUAACAGUGCGCCUGGAGAUCACUAUCAUGAACUGCUUUUGCACUAAACUGGCUUUACACGGACGUCAGUUUUAGCGAGAAAAAAAAAAAAACGAAUAGCUUUCUGACUUAGCUGCUUUGGAAAGAACUACAUUCUACGUUAAAGAAAUGCAGGGGUAUGUUGGGUUUCAGUUCAGCGGCAGCUUUCCAGACCCUCCUUAUUUCCUAUUCACUGUAAAGCAAUCCAGAUUAUCAGAUUAAACAGUAAAU
rnacentral:lncRNA from 1 species